CAGGUUAUGCAAAUGGAAUGGAAGUCAAUAAGAGAAGAGGCACUACAAUGCACACAAGAGCUUUGCUUGAAAGAAAAAAUGGCAAGGAAAAGUUACCACUAAUAGACCAGGAGAUGAAAGAGAAAAAUGACAGCAACAUCAAAAGGACACCAAUCUCUAAAAUCCAAAAUGCUGUAGCAAGUAGGCUAUCCUAAUAUGCAACAUACACGGAUGGUACAGUGCUGAAUUGAAGCCUAGAGAGAGUUUAUGUAAAUGAAGGCGAUGAAGAAGCGAUCACCAGGGUACCCAAAGAGUUGCACUGACCAAUAGGGUGGACAAAGUGAAGAGGAGGAGGCCUCAUUGACAAGGAAAACAAAUGGGAUGAUACAUGGCAUAGAGAGUGAGCUGUAAAGUCAAAAGAGGAAGAUUCUUUGAAACUCAAGGAAGACAUGUUUAACAAGAACAUUCAGGCUCAAGUGCAGGUGUCAGGUGCUGUGGCUGUGAGCAUAGGUGUUGAAUUACCUGAAGCAAAAAGGGAGUGUGAUUGGACGGCUGGCAGCUCAACCCGGCCGGGAUGCCCCUGG